UACGAAGGGGGGCUAGCGUUGCUCGGAAUCACUGGGCGUAAAGGGUGCGUAGGCGGGUCUUUAAGUCAGGGGUGAAAUCCUGGAGCUCAACUCCAGAACUGCCUUUGAUACUGAGGAUCUUGAGUUCGGGAGAGGUGAGUGGAACUGCGAGUGUAGAGGUGAAAUUCGUAGAUAUUCGCAAGAACACCAGUGGCGAAGGCGGCUUACUGGUCCGGUUCUGACGCUGAGGCGCGAAAGCGUGGGGAGCAAACAGG
rnacentral:rRNA from 1 species